GAAAACCGUUUGCCACGUUCUAGAAAUAUACACUUUGUUCCCACUGCAGCAUAGUGUAUACACAGAAGAAGUAUUCACUUCCAACACGACAUAUCUGAAUAACAUGAUGACUAUGAAGCUCACCCCCCUGUUGGUUGUCAUUCUGCUGGGUACAAUGGUACUGGAAUGUGAAUCACAUGAUGAUGAAAAUGAAAGAAAUGCUUGGAAAUUACAUUACAAUGUGCAACGAAGCGCUGGGGCGGAAUUUUUGCGUCUCCCUGGAAGUCACAUCCAAGAAGUAGUACGAAGUACAUGGAAGGAGCUAUAAAGUCAUCCAUAUGGUUAUUGAAUUAUGUUAAUAUAUGUAUGUUAAGUGUAUGUAAGAGAUGCCAGCAUUAAGAUUGUAUAUCUUCAAAAUAUGUAUCAAGCAUUAAAUGUCUCAUAUUAGCAACAG